AAUAAUCUUAUUUUUCGUUUUUCCAUGCCCAACAUUUGACCAUUAGUCUUAUUUAAAAAAUUUGUACAAAAACUUAAAAAAAUUAAUCACGUAUAAAGUACCAUUCAUAUUUUAUCAUCUAGUAACAAUAAAAUUAUUAAUCGUAAAAAAAUUUCAAAUAAGACGAAUGGUCAAACGUUAGGCACGGGAAAACGAAAAACGAGGUUAUU
rfam:Oryza brachyantha chromosome 11, whole genome shotgun sequence.